rnacentral:rRNA from 1 species
GGGGAAUAUUGGACAAUGGGCGCAAGCCUGAUCCAGCCAUGCCGCGUGGUUGCAGAAGGCCUUCGGGUUGUAAAGCCCUUUUGUUGGGCCAGAAUACCAGCCGGCCAAUACCCGGUUGUUCUGCCUGUACCCAAAGACUACGCCCCGGCUAACUUCGUGCCAGCAGCCGCGGUAAUACGAAGGGUGCCAGCGUUACUCGGAAUUACUGGGCGUAAAGCGUGCGAGGUGGUGGUUUAAGUCCGUUGUGAAAGCCCUGGGCUCAACCUGGGAACUGCAGUGGAUACUGGAUCACUAGAGUGUGGCAGAGGGUAGUGGAAUUCCCGGUGUAGCAGUGAAAUGCGUAGAGAUCGGGAGGAACAUCAGUGGCGAAGGCGACUGCCUGGGCCAACACUGACACUGAGGCACGCAAGCGUGGGGAGCAAACA